rnacentral:rRNA from 1 species
GGAUGAACGCUGGCGGCGUGCCUAAUCCAUGCAAGUCGAGCGAACAGACGAGGAGCUUGCUCCUCUGACGUUAGCGGCGGACGGGUGAGUAACACGUGGAUAACCUACCUAUAAGACUGGGAUAACUUCGGGAAACCGGAGCUAAUACCGGAUAAUAUAUUGAACCGCAUGGUUCAAUAGUGAAAGACGGUUUUGCUGUCACUUAUAGAUGGAUCCGCGCCGCAUUAGCUAGUUGGUAAGGUAACGGCUUACCAAGGCAACGAUGCGUAGCCGACCUGAGAGGGUGAUCGGCCACACUGGAACUGAGACACGGUCCAGACUCCUACGGGAGGCAGCAGUAGGGAAUCUUCCGCAAUGGGCGAAAGCCUGACGGAGCAACGCCGCGUGAGUGAUGAAGGUCUUCGGAUCGUAAAACUCUGUUAUUAGGGAAGAAGAAAUGUGUAAGUAACUAUGCACGUCUUGACGGUACCUAAUCAGAAAGCCACGGCUAACUACGUG